rnacentral:rRNA from 1 species
CACGUAGGGCGCAAGCGUUGUCCGGAAUUAUUGGGCGUAAAGAGCUCGUAGGCGGUCUGUUGCGUCCGCUGUGAAAACUCGGGGCUUAACCCCGAGCCUGCAGUGGAUACGGGCAGACUAGAGGUAGGUAGGGGAGAAUGGAAUUCCCGGUGUAGCGGUGAAAUGCGCAGAUAUCGGGAGGAACACCAAUGGCGAAGGCAGCUCGCUGGGACGGUACUGACGCUGAGACGCGAAAGCGUGGGGAGCAAACAGGG